rnacentral:rRNA from 1 species
AGCAAGCCGCGGUUAAUUCCAGCUCCAAUAGCGUAUAUUAAAGUUGUUGCAGUUAAAAAGGCUCGUAGUUGAAUUUCGGGACUAAUAUGUCGGUCGUACUUUGUACGUACUAGCAUUAUUGGUUUCUCCCUUCUGACGAACCACGAUGUCAUUAAUUUGGUGUCAUGGGAAAUCAGGACUGUUACUUUGAAAAAAAUUAGAGUGUUUAAAGCAAGCUCGCGCUUGAAUACAUUAGCAUGGAAUAAUGAAAUAGGACGUUUGAUUCUAUUUUGUUGGUUUCUAGGAUCGACGUAAUGAUUAAUAGGGAUAGUUGGGGGCAUUAGUAUUCAAUUGUCAGAGGUGAAAUUCUUGGAUUUAUUGAAGACUAACUACUGCGAAAGCAUUUGCCAAGGAUGUUUUCAUUAAUCAAGAACGAAAGUUAGGGGAUCGAAGACGAUCAGAUACCGUCGUAGUCUUAACCAUAAACUAUGCCGACUAGGGAUCGGAUGAUGUUAAUUUUUAAUGACUCAUUCGGCGCCUU